GACGUAGGGCGCGAGCGUUGUCCGGAUUUAUUGGGCGUAAAGAGCUCGUAGGCGGCUUGUUGCGUCGGCUGUGAAAUCCCAUGGCUCAACUGUGGGCUUGCAGCCGAUACGGGCGGGCUAGAGUUCGGUAGGGGAGACUGGAAUUCCUGGUGUAGCGGUGAAAUGCGCAGAUAUCAGGAAGAACACCUAUGGCGAAAGCAGCUCUCUGGGACGGUACUGACGCUGAGGCGCGAAAGCGUGGGGAGCGAACAGG
rnacentral:rRNA from 1 species